rnacentral:sRNA from 1 species
GCUGGGCGUGGUGGGGCACACCUGUAAUCCCAGCGGCUCUGGAGGCUGAGGCAGGAGGAUCUCGAGGUCAAAGCCAGCCUCAG